rnacentral:rRNA from 1 species
CUCUUGAGAGCGGCGGACGGGUGAGUAAUGCCUAGGAAUCUGCCUGGUAGUGGGGGAUAACGUUCGGAAACGGACGCUAAUACCGCAUACGUCCUACGGGAGAAAGCAGGGGACCUUCGGGCCUUGCGCUAUCAGAUGAGCCUAGGUCGGAUUAGCUAGUUGGUGAGGUAAUGGCUCACCAAGGCGACGAUCCGUAACUGGUCUGAGAGGAUGAUCAGUCACACUGGAACUGAGACACGGUCCAGACUCCUACGGGAGGCAGCAGUGGGGAAUAUUGGACAAUGGGCGAAAGCCUGAUCCAGCCAUGCCGCGUGUGUGAAGAAGGUCUUCGGAUUGUAAAGCACUUUAAGUUGGGAGGAAGGGCAUUAACCUAAUACGUUAGUGUUUUGACGUUACCGACAGAAUAAGCACCGGCUAACUCUGUGCCAGCAGCCGCGGUAAUACAGAGGGUGCAAGCGUUAAUCGGAAUUACUGGGCGUAAAGCGCGCGUAGGUGGUUUGUUAAGUUGGAUGUGAAAUCCCCGGGCUCAACCUGGGAACUGCAUUCAAAACUGACUGACUAGAGUAUGGUAGAGGGUGGUGGAAUUUCCUGUGUAGCGGUGAAAUGCGU